GAUGAACGCUGGCGGCGUGCCUAAUACAUGCGAGUCGAGCGAACAGACGAGGAGCUUGCUCCUUUGACGUUAGCGGCGGACGGGUGAGUAACACGUGGGUAACCUACCUAUAAGACUGGGAUAACUUCGGGAAACCGGAGCUAAUACCGGAUAAUAUUUCGAACCGCAUGGUUCGAUAGUGAAAGAUGGCUUUGCUAUCACUUAUAGAUGGACCUGCGCCGUAUUAGCUAGUUGGUAAGGUAACGGCUUACCAAGGCAACGAUACGUAGCCGACCUGAGAGGGUGAUCGGCCACACUGGAACUGAGACACGGUCCAGACUCCUACGGGAGGCAGCAGUAGGGAAUCUUCCGCAAUGGGCGAAAGCCUGACGGAGCAACGCCGCGUGAGUGAUGAAGGUCUUCGGAUCGUAAAACUCUGUUAUUAGGGAAGAACAAACGUGUAAGUAACUGUGCACGUCUUGACGGUACCUAAUCAGAAAGCCACGGCUAACUACGUG
rnacentral:rRNA from 1 species